rnacentral:tRNA from 1 species
GCCUCUGUGGUGGAAUUGGUAGACACACCGGACUUAAAAUCCGACGCCGAAAGGUGUGCCGGUUCGAAUCCGGCCAGAGGCACCA